UGAGGAAUAUUGGUCAAUGGGCGAGAGCCUGAACCAGCCAAGUAGCGUGCAGGAUGACGGCCCUAUGGGUUGUAAACUGCUUUUGUAUGGGGAUAAAGUCAGUCACGUGUGAUUGUUUGCAGGUACCAUACGAAUAAGGACCGGCUAAUUCCGUGCCAGCAGCCGCGGUAAUACGGAAGGUCCGGGCGUUAUCCGGAUUUAUUGGGUUUAAAGGGAGCGUAGGCUGGAGAUUAAGUGUGUUGUGAAAUGUAGACGCUCAACGUCUGACUUGCAGCGCAUACUGGUUUCCUUGAGUACGCACAACGUUGGCGGAAUUCGUCGUGUAGCGGUGGAAUGCUUAGAUAUGACGAAGAACUCCGAUUGCGAAGGCAGCUGACGGGAGCGCAACUGACGCUGAAGCUCGAAGGUGCGGGUAUCGAACAGGAUUAGAUACCCUGGUAGUCCGCACAGUAAACGAUGGAUGCCCGCUGUUGGUACGUGGUAUCAGCGGCUAAGCGAAAGCAUUAAGCAUCCCACCUGGGGAGUACGCCGGCAACGGUG
rnacentral:rRNA from 1 species